rnacentral:snRNA from 1 species
GUGCUCGCUUCUGCAGCACAGACACUAAAACUGGAAUGAUAGAGAAGAUUAGUAUGGCUCCUGUGCAAGGAUGACAGACAAGUUGAUGAAGCAUUCCACAGUUUU